GCCCUAAUUUGCAUAUCCCAUCGCUGCAUUCACGCCGUUACAGAUUAGCCGCAUCACUAACGCAGAAGCGAAAGGCGCACAAAAUGGACGUGGAAAUCUCCACGCGUUCAUCCCCUCCCUUGCGCUUCGAUGUGUUAUCAAGAGAUGACGAGAAAUCAGAACGUAACACAAAAACGUAACACCACCGAACCGAACCACCGAAUGGCAUCAACCUUGAACUUGUGCAUUCUCCCCACUAACCCACAUCCGUGGGCCUUAACGAACUUGAACAACAUCGGGCAACGCACCGUUGCAGAAACCAGGGCGCGUUUGUGGUGGAAUAGCGAAACGGUUUUGCUGCUCGUUGCAUUCCUGUUCAGUCCACAUGACCGAGUUUUUACUUUUAUGGCAUUCACAUCGGCUACCGAAACCUGUUGCUCGGCAAACUGGAUUUUUCACCCAGGAGGUGUCAAUCAACCAUGAAAAGGACAAUAUCGACGACAACAGUUCAAGAGUAGUAACAGAAAUUACGCCCGCUGAGUAUAGUGCUCUUUAUGUAUCGCCCGUUGUCAUUCCUUCUUUGCACACACCAGGCAUAGAAAUUUUGAGCUGCCUCUUUGCGUUAGAAUGAAUGGAAUUCGAGUCAAGCAGAGGCAGAAAUUAUACGCCACAAUCAAGGAAAGAGCCGUUAGCUGGUCCUUUAGGGUUGCAAUGAUGUUCUGGUUGGGUUGUAAUGAAUAAGAAGCAAGCAGAUAGAAUACGCUUGCGAAACGUGUAUGAAAGAAGUACAAGCAGAAAAUUAGAAUAAGCUUGCUAUAAAAUUAUAUCAAACUCAUCGAAAGAUGCGUUAUUUGUCGUACAGAACCUGAAUACUUUCAGCAAGCCAAUUCGAUAAGAUAGUACGUUUUAAUAUUCCUACGAUUUUCUUCUUCGGAAUUGAAUCUAUUUUGAAUCUGCUUUAUGUUAAAAAUAAUGAACCGCUUAAGAAGGACGGACGUGAGAAGAAAGUACUGUGUACAGAGAACGAAAAAAACACAGUUUUGUGUAAAUUGCGUAACGCCGUUCGAGGUUGCAUGCAGCAUUUCAUACACGAGUAACGCUUUUCCUACAAGCUAAACACACUAAGAAGAAAAGCCAUUCACAGUUGGUUGGACUCGUUUUAGUAAUUUAUUGAAAGGCAAUAACCAAACACACCCAGCGCCAUAGUUGUUCGAAAUAGUGACACUCUAUUCGACUCCUUUCUACACUGUGUCCUGCUGUGCUGUCUCCAGCAUGAUCCAAACUAUCGACACGAUCUUGUUACAAAAAUAAGCUAAUGCUGGAUUUAUUGAAAUAAAGUGUAA